UCACUUAGUAAGGGGGCAGCUCGACUUCAUCUAGUUGGCAAGGUCGCAGAGAAGGUUGGAACCAAGGAUUAAGGAUUUGUUCACUUUGUGGCAUCAUGAUCAACAACAACUUCUUGUCAACUUCAAAUAAUAAUCAACUGAAAGCAUUGGUCAACCAUGGAGAAAACUUUGGUCGUGUUCAUGAAUGACCUCAAUUCUAGAGCAGCAUCAUUUUGGAGGAGUUUUGAGCAUGAAACUUGGCUGUUCAUGAACAACCACUCUUGUUUCAAUGCUUGAGCAUUUAAGGCAGCAACAACGUUAAUUUGACAGGCAUGGGAAGACUCUAAUAGUUGUGGUCGUUCAUGAACGGCCUAUUAGAGUCUUGAAGGGGCGUAAGACAUACAAGGAUUAAUUGGAGAAGCAUGUAUCACAGAGAAGACAUGUGUAUACCUAUAGCU